rnacentral:tRNA from 1 species
UAUUUUAUAGUUUAUUUAGAAUGUUAAAUUGCAAGUUUAAGGGUAUGUAAAAAUUAAAAUUU